rnacentral:tRNA from 2 species
GCGGGCGUGGUGAAAUCGGUAAACACAGCAGACUUAAAAUCUGCCGACCUUUUGGUCUUGGCGGUUCAAGUCCGCCCGCCCGCACCA